GCUGGUCUAAGAUGGCGAAGACAUAUUGGAGUCAGUGUCUCAGGUUCCUGAAUAGGAUACAUCGAAGAUAGCAUGACCACGUCAUGGCGUGACCUAAGUGGAUGUUCUUGGCUCAUCCUGAAGUAUAUACACAAAAAACCCUGCGGUUCUUCCUACCUCAGUGUUGUGAUCAUGGUCUAUGGUGCUGUGAACUGAGGUAGUAGUUUGUAUAGUUUGGGAUCACACCAGAUCUAGGAGAUAACUAUACAGCCUACUGUCUUUCUCACGGCUACCUCGAUGCAUCAUGGAGGAGAGAAAGGGCAAGCCACACGCUCCGAUGAAAUGUACUGCACGGGACAUAUCUGGAUGUGGCUCGGUUGUGCUGAGGUAGUAAGUUGUGUUGUUGUGGGGACUUGGAAUGUUUUGCCCUUUUUUUGGAGAUAACUAUACAUCUUACUGCCUUUCAUGCCAGAGUCUUGAACGUGAAGUUAUUAUAAAUAAUUCCAUCAUUAAUAAAUGAUGUAUUUUAUUAUGUAUUGCUUCUGAAUGUUUUUUGUUUUCUUGUCUGUGAGUCAAGAAGUAAUUUCAAUAAACUUUUUUUCUGAAGUA